UUUUCCAAUGAGUUUAAUACUUCCAGGUAUGGAAUUUAAUCCGUAAAAAUAUUUUAAAGGCAUUAUUCACUUAAUUUUCCCCCCAAAUCCAAGCAUUCUUCUUAAGGAAAUAAACCCUAGCUUCAAGAAUCAAGGUCAAAACUCAAGAAUUUAUUCAAGCACCUUCAAGAAUUAAUAACCAAAGGUAUGUUAGGUGUUUAUCUAUGGGUCCCUUUCACCCAUAGAGUC
rnacentral:lncRNA from 1 species